rnacentral:rRNA from 1 species
CUCCAGGGAGACUGCCGGUGAUAAACCGGAGGAAGGUGGGGACGACGUCAAGUCAUCAUGGCCCUUACGAGUAGGGCUACACACGUGCUACAAUGGCAGAUACAGAGGGCAGCGAAGCUGCGAAGUGGAGCGAAUCCCUUAAAGUUUGUCGUAGUCCGGAUUGGAGUCUGCAACUCGACUCCAUGAAGUCGGAAUCGCUAGUAAUCGUGGAUCAGAAUGCCACGGUGAAUACGUUCCCGGGCCUUGUACACACCGCCCGUCACACCAUGGGAGUGGGCUGCACCAGAAGUAGAUAGCUUAACCUUCGGGAGGGCGUUUACCACGGUGUGGUUCAUGACUGGGGUGAAGUCGUAACAAGGUAGCCCUAGGGGAACCUGGGGCUGGAUCACCUCCUUACU